rnacentral:rRNA from 1 species
UACGGAGGGUGCGAGCGUUGUCCGGAAUCAUUGGGCGUAAAGGGCGCGUAGGUGGCCCGGUCAGUCCGUGGUGAAAGCGCGGGGCUCAACCCCGCGUCGGCCAUGGAUACUGCUGGGCUGGAGCACUGUAGAGGCAGGCGGAAUUCCGGGUGUAGCGGUGGAAUGCGUAGAGAUCCGGAAGAACACCGGUGGCGAAAGCGCUCUGCUAGGCCGCAACUGACACUCAUGGACGAAAGCUAGGGGAGCGAAUGGG